AUGUGGCCCUGGUCUUUAUACAGCCUCAUCUGUGUAUUAGUGGAAAACUUCUGGAAGGUGGUGACUGCUUUUCUUCUUUCAUUGUCAGUGUGCCUCAGUGAUGCUCAGCAGGCCUGGACAUCUCCCAAGGGGAGUCUACUAGCAAAGGAGUUGGAAGACCACAGCGUAUACUCCAGCAUGGGUUGUUUCUCCAGGAAGCUGGCAGGUAGAGACUGGUUGGGAGCAGUCCCUUGGGGGUCAGGGCAAUGAUGCCCUGAAAGUAGAGACUCGGGUUAGGAAGAGGAAAUAUUUAAAACUGGAGCACAGAUAUAUUUUACAUUGAUUUUUCCCUUGUGUCUGUGUCCUGGAAAGGAUUUUGAGUCUUUAGGGCAUUGGCUCCUAGUCUCUACUCUUGCCUCACCCUGUUCCUUCUUCCCACCACGUUUAGAAAUUUUCUUCAUUUUCAGCCAAGCACAAGCUCUGGAAUUCUCCCCAAAUAUGGAAUUGAUCUUUUUGUUUAUCUGCAAAAAAGGGACCAAAAUUAGGUGGGGGGCAGGGUGUACAUGUGUGGUUUGAGACCAAGCAGGGCUGGGGGUGAGAAGGAAUGGUGGGAACUGUGUCUUUUUAAACAAUUUCCUUCUCUGUCUUUUACCUAUUGUGCCUCAAGGCCAGGCAUGAUGUCCAUCCUCUGAAUGUCUGCUGAUCUGCCUGUUUUCUUUCUUUAGUAAACCUGACCAAUUACAUGAGAUAACACAGCAAAGCAGCUGCCAUAGAGGUAGGCACAGAUCAGGCCCACCCUCAAUAGCAUGGUUUAGUGGUAAAAGCGUCAGCUCCGCAGGUUAAUGGGCCCAUGUCCAACAAAGCCUCAGCUUGGAUGCUCAUCAUCGUGGUAACUUGGGUGAUCUAAUUCCUCUCUUUCAGUCUUGGCUUCCUCAAUUGCAAGAUGGAGAUAGGGCUUUUGUUGGGAGGAUUAAAUAUGAUGAUCACCAAGGUAAAAGCUUAGCAUUUAGUAAGUAUUCAAUAAAUGUUCAUUUCCUUCCUUCCUUCUUUCCUGC
rnacentral:lncRNA from 1 species